rnacentral:rRNA from 17 species
AGGUGUUGCACGACUGUCGUCAGCUCGUGUCGUGAGACGUCUGGUUAGGUCCUGAAACGGGCGCAACUCUUACUUUUUACAAAGUAUUUACAAAUUAAAAGCUUUUAGUCAAUAAAAGUCUUUUAAAUGCUUUAAAAGUACGGUCAACGAUAAGUUGAGGGAAGGUAAGAAUAAAGUCAAGUCAAUGUGACCCUGAUGAAUUGGGCUACACAUGUGCUACAAUGAAAAUUACAAAAAGUGACAAAAAAGAAAUUUUGAGUUAAUCAACAAAAAUUUUCCCAGUUCGGAUUGUAAACUGCAACUCGUUUACAUGAAGUUGGAAUCACUAGUAAUCGCAAAUCAGCACGUUGCGGUGAACAUGUAACUUGGCCUUGUACACACCGCCCGUCA